CCUAGUUGAUCCUACUAGUAGUCAUAUGCUUGUCUCAAAGAUUAUGCAAUACAUGUGUAAGUAUGAACUAAUUUAGAGUAUGAAACUGCGAAUGGCUCAUUAAAUCAAUUAUAGUUUGUUUGAUUGUAUCUACUACUUAAAUAACUAUAGUAACUGCAGAGCUAAUACCUGUAACAAGCCAUGACUUCUGAAAGGGAUGGAUUUAUUAGAUAAAAGGUUGAUGUGAGCUUAGCUCAUUGCUUUGAUGAUUAUGAUUCAUGAUAACUCGACAAAUCAUAUAGCUUUUGUGCUGGUGAUGCAUAAUUCAAAUUUUUACCCUAUCAACUUUUGAUGGUAAGAUAGUGGCCAAUUAUGGUGGUGAUAAGUGAUAAAGAAUUAGGGUUUGAUUCUAGAGAAGGAGUCUAAAAAACGGCUACCACAUUAAAGGAAGGUAGCAAGCACACAAAUUACCUAAUCUUGAUACAAGGAGGUAGUGACAAUAAAUAACAAUAUCAAGCUUUAUGAGUCUAGUAAUUAGAAUGAGUGCACAAUCUAAAUCCCUUAACAAGGAUCCAUUAGAGGGCAAGUCUGGUGCUAGCAUUUGUAAUAAUUCUAGCUCCAAUAGCAUAUAUUUAAGUUAUCAUAGUUAAAAAACUCGUAGUUGAAACUUGAAUUACGUCAUCUGAUCACCUCAUGGUAAGCAUCAGACUACUUGUCUCUUCUGCCAAUGAUAUGCUCCUAACCUUAACUAGUCGGGUUGGCACCAUUAUUUUGAAAAAAUUAGAGUGCUCUAAGCUGACCUAUGCUUGUAUACAUUAGCAUGGGAUAACAUCAUAGGAUCUUAGUCUAUUUUGUUAGCCUUUGGGAUCAGAGUAAUGAUUAACAGGGAUAGUCAGGGGCAUUUGUAUUUCAUAGUCAGAAGUGAAAGACAAACAAUUGUGAAAGAUUUAUUAAAGAUGUUUUCAUUAAUCAAGAAUGAAAGUUGGGGGCUCAAAGAUGAUCAGAUACUAUCCUAGUCUCAACCAUAAAUGAUGCCAACCAAGGAUCGACGGAUGUUGCUUUUAGGACUCUAUCAGCACCUUAUGAGAAAUCAAAGUCUUUGGGUUCUAAGGGGUGUAUGGUCGCAAGGCUAAAACUUAAAGGAAUUGAAGGAAAUGCACCACCAAUAGUGGAGCCUGCGACUUAAUUUGACUUAAAAUGGGGAAACUUACCAAAUCCAAACAUAGUAAGGAUUGACAAACUAAAGACUCUUUCUUGAUUCUAUGGAUGGUGGUACAUGGCUAUUCUUAGUUGGUGGAACGAUUGGUCUAGUUAAUCCCAUUAACGAAUGAGACCUCAACCUAUUAACUAGCUACACGGAGGUGAUCCUUCGUGCUAGCCUUUUAUAGGGACUAUGGCCACUUAGGCCAAGUUUAAGGCCAUAAUAGGUCAGUGAUGCCCUUAGAUGUUUUGGUUACAUGCACGCUACACCAAUAUAUCCAACAAGUCUAUAGCCUUGGCCGACAAGCUCGAGUAAUCUCUAAAAUUUCAUCAUGAUAGGGAUAGAUGAUUGUAAUUAUUGGUGUACAACAAGGAAUUCCUAGCAAAUGUGAGUCAUCAGCUCUGGUUGACUAUGCCUUUGCCUUUUUUACUCACUACCUGUCGCUCUUACAGAUUAUAUGGUUUGGUGAAAUGUUUAGAUCAUAGUGAUGUGGAUGGUUUGCUGCCCGUAACAUCAAGAGAAGUCCAUUGAACCUUAUCAUUUAGAAGAAAGAAAAGUCGUACCAAGGUUUACGUAGGUGAACUUGUAGAAG
rnacentral:rRNA from 1 species